UACGUAGGGUGCGAGCGUUAAUCGGAAUUACUGGGCGUAAAGCGUGCGCAGGCGGCUUGCCAAGUCAGAUGUGAAAGCCCCGGGCUCAACCCGGGAACUGCGUUUGAAACUGGCAGGCUAGAGUUUGGCAGAGGGGGGUGGAAUUCCACGUGUAGCAGUGAAAUGCGUAGAGAUGUGGAGGAACACCGAUGGCGAAGGCAGUCCCCUGGGCCAAAACUGACGCUCAGGCACGAAAGCGUGGGGAGCAAACAGG
rnacentral:rRNA from 1 species